UGGUCCUCUGGUCAGGGUUUGAU
rnacentral:piRNA from 1 species